rnacentral:lncRNA from 1 species
ACUUCCCAAUAAAUGCCUCGGAAUGUUUUACCGUAUCACUUGCUACUGUUGCUGCUAUAGCCUUCAAAAGAUGAUCGAUCACAAUGUUCAGAAAAUUAAUAAAUAACAGAGGCAAUAAAUAAUGUCAUUUAUGAAUACAAACUUGCCUAUGAAAAUAUAUGGUUGUCACUCUCAUGCCUGGCAAUAAUGAAAAUUUGAUCUACAUACUUCAAUUGCUGUUAAACAUUUAAAAACCUAUAUAAAGUGUACUUGAAUGAACAUUCACAUAAAACUAUUUUCAGUUGAAAGCAUAAACUUUUCGAAACGAUACUGGGUAAGAAAUAAAGCAGAGGAAAUUUUAGUUUCAAAAAUGACAUUAAUUUUCUUUCUUCAUUUGGAAUUCAAAAAUAGCGUAGAUAAAAUCACCUUCUGUCCAAUUACUCCAAUUUGGCAUACCCCAUAGCACAAAGUGAAGUUGGCCGUGUCCGUAUAGGUCUUUUUCCUAAAGAAUAGCAAAGAAAUCAAAACUUGAUAAUGUAUAAAUAGUGAACAUCAAUAUUCCAUAAUGAAAGAAAAUAAUUCAUCACAGGAUAAAAAGUAAAGUCAAAU